AUGCUCCCUCCUGAAAGCGAAGUUCAAGCUAGGGAGAAAGAACCGCCAGUAAACAUAGAAGACAGCAACAGAGCAGGAGACUUCGCCCUGCAGGGGACAGCUGCUGCAAGCAUGGCAAUUGUUAGCUCACUGUGGGCAGUUGUGAUCACCACCUGCCUAGGAGCCAGCAUGGCCCAGACAGUCACUCAGCCUCAGCAGGAAAAGUUCGUGCAGGAGACAGAGUCGGCAACCCUGGACUGCACAUACGACACGAGUGAUACUAAUUAUAACUUGUUCUGGUACAGACAGCAAAGAGGGCAGAUGACUCUCAUUAUUCGCCAAGAAGCUUAUAAGCAGCAGAACGCAACGGAGAACCGCUUCUCCGUGAAUUUCCAGAAAGCAGCGAAGUCCUUCAGCCUCAAGAUCUCAGACUUGCAGCUAGAGGAUGCUGCGAUGUAUUUCUGCGCGCUCAUGAGAAGGGCACAGUGA